GACAAAUUGCGUCCAAUACUGUCAUAUUAUGUUAAUGCGGUAAUGGCUUCUUUAGUUAUUCUUUUGUGAUGAAGUUUUUAUUUAUUGGCAAAGUUUUGAGGCAUUUUGUGUGAAUAUAAUUAUGCUGGUGAGGAUGAACCGACACUGGUAUUGAAGCGAGUCUGAAUGAACCGUGUGUGGUAACUAAACACAAAUCUUGUCACGAUCUUAGGGAUUUAUGUCUAUUGUACUUUUAUAUUUUUUAAUAUAUCUGUAAAGAGACUACUACUACUACUACUUACAAAGUAAUACUAAUUCGUGAAGAUGUCUAAAUGACGCUUGAGAAAGAUUGGAAUGUGUUGGUGAAGUGUAACCUAAAAAGAGUGAUUAAUAUUUAAUAUUAUGAGAUUCAAAAUUUAGAGAAGAUAAUAUAAUAUAGACUUUAAAUGUUGUUUUUUUCAUUAAAGAGAAAAAUGCAA